GGUUACUGCUAUCGAGGUUCGACUAAGCCAUGCGAGUCGAAUGUAGCAAUACAUGGCGUACUGCUCAGUAACACGUGGACAACCUACCCUUAGGCCUGGGAUAACCCCGGGAAACUGGGAAUAAUACCGGAUAUCUCGCGAAUGCUGGAAUGCGUCGCGAUAGAAAGCCCCGGCGCCUAAGGAUGGGUCUGCGGCCUAUCAGGUAGUAGUGGGUGUAACGUACCUACUAGCCUACGACGGGUACGGGUUGUGAGAGCAAGAGCCCGGAGAUGGAUUCUGAGACACGAAUCCAGGCCCUACGGGGUGCAGCAGGCGCGAAAACUUUACAAUGCUGGAAACAGCGAUAAGGGGACCUCGAGUGCCAGGAUACAAUCCUGGCUGUCGUAAUGCCUAAAAAGCAUUGCAUACAAGGGCCGGGCAAGACCGGUGCCAGCCGCCGCGGUAACACCGGCGGCUCGAGUGGUAACCGCUAUUAUUGGGUCUAAAGGGUCUGUAGCCGGCUGACUAAGUCUCUUGGGAAAUCUGACAGCUAAACUGUCAGGCUUUCAGGAGAUACUGAUCGGCUCGAGACCGGGAGAGGUGAGAGGUACCUCAGGGGUAGGGGUGAAAUCUUGUAAUCCUUGAGGGACCACCAGUGGCGAAGGCGUCUCACCAGAACGGAUCUGACGGCAAGGGACGAAAGCUAGGGGCACGAACCGGAUUAGAUACCCGGGUAGUCCUAGCCGUAAACGAUACUCGCUAGGUGUCGGCCACGGUGCGACCGUGGUCGGUGCCGUAGGGAAGCCGUGAAGCGAGCCACCUGGGAAGUACGGCCGCAAGGCUGAAACUUAA
rnacentral:rRNA from 1 species